rnacentral:lncRNA from 1 species
AAGAAUUGAAUCAAGAAAGCCAAAACCCCCCAAAAAUUAUGACAAUCAAGUUUCCAAACUCUCCACUAGUGCUGCUCAUCCUCUCAAUCCUUUCAUCACUCUCAGUAUCAUGGGCAACUUCAGAGCCAGUUCCCAUUAAUGGCUUUCUCCAAUGCCUUCCAAAACAGUUUCAUUCUGGCCACCCAAUCUUUGAAGCCGUUUACACCCCUCAAAACACCUCUUUUCAAUCCAUUUUGAUGGCACGCGUUAAAAACCUCAGAUUUUCAAGCCCUACUACUCCAAAACCUCUGGCCAUUGUAGCAGCCAAGCACGAAUCUCAUGUGCAGGCAACUAUUGUUUGUGCAAAACAAAAUGGACUGCAAAUUAGAAUCCGAAGUGGUGGCCAUGACUAUGAGGGUCUAUCGUACGUAUCGCAUGUCCCCUUUGUCGUUCUUGACAUGUUUCAUCUCCAAUCCGUUAAUGUUAGUGUCAAGGAUGAGAGCGCUUGGGUUGAGUCUGGAGCUACUCUUGGCAAAAUUUAUCAUAAAAUUGCUCAGAAAUCCAAGGUUCAUGGGUUUCCUGCUGGGGUUGGACCAACUGUUGGUGCUGGUGGCCACUUCAGUGGGGGAGGGUAUGGGAAUUUGAUGAGAAAAUAUGGCCUUAGCAUCGACAAUAUUGUCGAUGCUAAACUAGUUGAUGCAAAUGGUAGAAUCCUUGAUAGAAAGUCUAUGGGAGAAGACAUUUUCUGGGCCAUUAAUGGAGGUGGAGGAGCUAGCUUUGGAGUCAUUCUUUCAUGGAAACUCAAGCUUGUUCGAGUUCCAGAAAAAGUGACCGUGUUCAACGUUACAAGGACUUUAGAGCAAGGCGUUACAGAUGUCCUUUAUAAGUGGCAAUUUGUAGCACCCGUGCUCCCUAAAGACCUCUUCCUGAGAGCAAGGCCAGAAAUCGAGAAUAAUACUGAGGGCAAGAAGAUUGCGGAAGUAUCAUUCAUCGGUCAAUUUUUGGGACAAACUCGCGAGCUUCUGCCUUUGAUGAACGAGAGCUUCCCCGAAUUGCGUUUACGACGAGAAGAUUGUCAUGAAGUGAGUUGGUUUGAAUCUGUUGUAUUCUGGGCUGAACUCCCACUUGGAACCCCAAGAUCUAUUUAUCUCAACCUGAAAAACAAACCAAUACCCUUCUUCAAAGCUAAGUCUGACUAUGUGAAGAAACCAAUUCCAAAAAAAGUUAUAGAAUACAUGUUUAAGGCGAUGCUUGAGAUAGGGAAUAUAUGGAUGGAAUGGAACCCUCAUGGUGGAAGAAUGAGUGAGAUUUCUGCGUCAGCAACUCCAUCCCCUCACAGAGCUGGAAACCUAUAUUCGAUUCAAUACUAUACGUCGUGGUUUCAAGACGAAGGGAUUGAGGCCACCAACAGGUACAUUCACUUAACAAGAAAGUUGCAUGAAAAGAUGACUCCGUUUGUCUCCAGGAACCCGAGAGAGGCCUUCCAAAACUAUAGGGAUCUCGACAUUGGCGCCAAUCUGUACAACCAAAGUAACCUUCUAACUGCUUCAGUUUACGGAAGCAAGUAUUUUGAAGGUAACUUCGAAAGAUUGGUGCGUGUGAAAACCAUGGUUGAUCCUCACAACUUUUUCAAGCAUGAACAAAGUAUCCCACCUAUUUAGAGAGAUUGGAAGGUUUAACAAUAUGAACAUGUAUGAGUCUGGCUAUUGAUGCUUGUAAUAUUGAUUUGAUGUAUUGGAAAAUAAAGCAUAGUCUACAAUAAGAAUAAUGUUCAUUCAUAAAAGGUGACAAUAAUGUUCUUAGCAAUCAGCCAACAACGUCACCUUAUCCACACAACCUCUACUAUGACGGCUAUGCCCGAUAUUGGGAAAGCAAUAUAUGUCAUGCGGUUUGUAUGUAAGCAGUUAGCUAUUACUCAAAUUUUGAAUUGCUUCACCUAAUAAUAACCUAAUCGUGUAGAA